rnacentral:tRNA from 2 species
GGGCUCUUAGCUCAGCUGGUUAGAGCGCAGCGUUGACAUCGCUGAGGUCGGGUGUUCGAGCCACCCAGAGCCCACCG